AUUGAACGCUGGGGGCAGACCUAACACAUGCAAGUCGAGCGGAGCGGCGGACGGGUGAAUAAUGCCUAGGAAUCUGCCUGGUAGUGGGGGAUAACGUCCGGAAACGGGCGCUAAUACCGCAUACUAUCAGAUGAGCCUAGGUCGGAUUAGCUAGUUGGUGGGGUAAAGGCCUACCAGGGCGACGAUCCGGAACUGGUCUGAGUGGAUGAUCAGUCAAACUGGAACUGAGCACCGGACCAGACUCCUCCGGGAGGCAGCAGUUGGGAAUAUUGGACAAUGGGCGAAAGCCUGAUCCAGCCCUGCCGAGUGUGUGAAGAGGGUCUUCGGAUUGUAAAGCCCUUUAAGUUGGUCGGCGUUACCAACAGAAGAAGCACCGGCUAAGUUCGUGCCAGCAGCCGCGGUAAUUC
rnacentral:rRNA from 1 species